UUUUUUCAUGAAAUCAAAAUCGAUUAUUUUUGGUGUCAGCUGAAAACAUUUAGGUUUGACAUAAAAAGCUGGACAGGAAACGAGGCUCACCUUCACUGCAGCUUACAGGAGAACUUCAUCUGCAGCAGAACCCAACAGAAUGACCUGCCGCCCUGCACUGACCUGGACGAUACAGAAAUGUCUCAUCUGCAUAUUCAUGAUGAAGAUAAAAGUAUUUCUUUCAUUUCUUGGAAAAAAUCAAAUUUUUAAAAUAAUU